rnacentral:rRNA from 1 species
CAGUAGCCGCGGUAAUACAGAGGGUGCGAGCGUUAAUCGGAUUUACUGGGCGUAAAGCGUGCGUAGGCGGCUUUUUAAGUCGGAUGUGAAAUCCCUGAGCUUAACUUAGGAAUUGCAUUCGAUACUGGGAAGCUAGAGUAUGGGAGAGGAUGGUAGAAUUCCAGGUGUAGCGGUGAAAUGCGUAGAGAUCUGGAGGAAUACCGAUGGCGAAGGCAGCCAUCUGGCCUAAUACUGACGCUGAGGUACGAAAGCAUGGGGAGCAAACAGGAUUAGAUACCCCUGUAGUCCCUGUCUUUUAUAC